rnacentral:rRNA from 1 species
GACGAACGCUGGCGGCGUGCCUAAUACAUGCAAGUCGAACGCAGUGGGGACGGGGGAGUAACACGUGGGUAACCUCCCAUCAGAGGGGAUAACACUUGGAAACAGGUGCUAAACCUAUACUGAAUGACGGACCCGCGGUGCAUAAGCUAGUUGGUGAGGUAACGGCUCACCAAGGCCACGAUGCAUAGCAGGCCUGAGAGGGUGAGCGGCCAAACUGGGACUUGGACACGGCCCCGACUCCUACGGGAGGCAGCAGUAGUGAAUAUUCGGCAAUGGACGAAAGGCUGACGGAGCAAUGCCGCGUGAUUGAAGAAGGUUUUCGGAUCGUAAAACACUGUUGUUAGAGAAGCGGUAUCUAGCCAGAAAGCCACGGCUAACUACGUGCCAGCAGCCGCGGUAAUAC